rnacentral:snRNA from 1 species
GUGCUUGCUUUGGCCGGACAUCUAUUAAAGUUGGGUUGAUACAGAGGAAAUUAGCAUGGCCCCUGCGAAAGGAUGACACGCAAAUUUGUAAAGAGAAAACAUGGAGU